CCUACGGGAGGCAGCAGUGGGGAAUCUUGCGCAAUGGGCGAAAGCCUGACGCAGCGACGCCGCGUGGGGGAAGAAGGCCUUAGGGUUGUAAACCUCUUUCAGGUGGGACGAAGCCACUCGGGUUAAUAGCCCAGAGGGUGGCGGUACCGCCAGAAGAAGCCCCGGCUAACUACGUGCCAGCAGCCGCGGUAAUACGUAGGGGGCAAGCGUUGUCCGGAUUUAUUGGGCGUAAAGAGCGUGUAGGCGGCUAGGUAGGUGGGUUGUGAAAACUGGAGGCUCAACCUUCAGACGUCGACCCAAACCCCCUGGCUAGAGUCCGGAAGAGGAGAGUGGAAUUCCUGGUGUAGCGGUGAAAUGCGCAGAUAUCAGGAAGAACACCCGUGGCGAAGGCGGCUCUCUGGGACGGUACUGACGCUGAGACGCGAAAGCGUGGGGAGCGAACAGGAUUAGAUACCCUGGUAGUCCACGCCGUAAACGGAUGGGUGCUAGGUNUGGGGGUGUCGAUCCCCCGUACCGAAGCUAACGCAUUAAGCCNCCGCCGUCGGAGGUACGGCGCGAGACGAACGUACAAGAGUAGUAGACGCGNGAAGUAGUCGACGACGACGACGACGGAGGAGGAGG
rnacentral:rRNA from 1 species